rfam:Ashbya gossypii ATCC 10895 chromosome VI, complete sequence.
GAAGCGGUGGCUCAAUGGUAGAGCUUUCGACUCCAGUUAAAUCCUGGAUUUUCCGGAAUUGCAAUCGAAGGGUUGCAGGUUCAAUUCCUGUCCGUUUCA